AGCAGCCGCGGUAAUUCCAGCUCCAAUAGCGUAUAUUAAAGUUGUUGCAGUUAAAAGCUCGUAGUUGAAUUUCAGGCCUGGCUGGACGGUCCGCCUUUUGGGUGAGUACUGUCUGUGGUCGGGUCCUACCUUCUGGCGAAGCGUCAUGGCCUUAACCGGCCGUGGCGGGGAACCAGGACUUUUACUGUGAAAAAAUUAGAGUGUUCAAAGCAGGCAAUCGCUUGAAUACAUUAGCAUGGAAUAAUGGAAUAGGACAAUGGUUCUAUUUGUUGGUUUCUAGGACCGUUGUAAUGAUUAAUAGGGAUAGUUGGGGGCAUUAGUAUUCAAUUGUCAGGGGUGAAAUUCUUGGAUUUAUUGAAGACUAACUACUGCGAAAGCAUUUGCCAAGGAUGUUUUCAUUAAUCAAGAACGAAGUUAGGGGAUCGAAGACGAUCAGAUACCGUCGUAGUCUUAACCAUAAACUAUGCCGACUGGGAUCGGAUGAUGUUAAUUUUUUAAUGACUCAUUCGGCGCCUUACGG
rnacentral:rRNA from 1 species